rnacentral:tRNA from 1 species
UAUUUAAUAUUUGAAAAAUUUUAAAACUCCUUACAGAAUAAGGAGUUUCUAAGGUUUAAAUUG